CAUAUAAUAAGCGGAGGA
rnacentral:rRNA from 1 species